rnacentral:rRNA from 1 species
UACGUAGGGGGCUAGCGUUGUCCGGAAUCAUUGGGCGUAAAGCGCGCGUAGGCGGCCCGGUAGGUCCGCUGUGAAAGUCAAAGGCUCAACCUUUGAAUGUCAGCGGAUACUGCCGGGCUAGAGGGUGGUAGAGGCGAGUGGAAUUCCCGGUGUAGCGGUGAAAUGCGCAGAUAUCGGGAGGAACACCAGUAGCGAAGGCGGCUCGCUGGGCCACACCUGACGCUGAGACGCGAAAGCUAGGGGAGCGAACAGG